rnacentral:rRNA from 1 species
AACGAACGCUGGCGGCAGGCUUAACACAUGCAAGUCGAACGCCCCUUACGGGGAGUGGCAGACGGGUGAGUAACGCGUGGGAAUCUACCCAUCUCUACGGAAUAACUCAGGGAAACUUGUGCUAAUACCGUAUACGCCCUUCGGGGGAAAGAUUUAUCGGAGAUGGAUGAGCCCGCGUUGGAUUAGCUAGUUGGUGGGGUAAAGGCCUACCAAGGCGACGAUCCAUAGCUGGUCUGAGAGGAUGAUCAGCCACAUUGGGACUGAGACACGGCCCAAACUCCUACGGGAGGCAGCAGUGGGGAAUAUUGGACAAUGGGCGCAAGCCUGAUCCAGCCAUGCCGCGUGAGUGAUGAAGGCCCUAGGGUUGUAAAGCUCUUUCACCGAUGAAGAUAAUGACUGUAGUCGGAGAAGAAGCCCCGGCUAACUUCGUGCCAGCCGCCGCUGUAACAC